rnacentral:rRNA from 1 species
AACGAACGCUGGCGGCAUGCCUAACACAUGCAAGUCGAACGGGACCUUCGGGUCUAGUUGCGCUCGGGUGCGUACCGCGUGGGAAGCUGCCCGUAGGUACGGAAUACCUCACCGAAGGGGGUGCUAAUACCGGAUAAUGUCUUCGUACCAACGAUUUAUCGCCAUUGGAUGGGCAGGCGUUGGAUUGGCUGGUUGGUAGGGUAACAGCCUACCAAGGAGAGGAUCCAUAGCUGGGCUGAGAGAAGGAUCAGCGACACUGGGACGAAGACACGGCCCAGAAUCCUACGGGAGGGAGGAGAGGGGAAUACAGGAAAAUGGGCGAAGGCCUGAUGCAGCAAUGGCGGGUGAGUGAUGAAGGCGGUAGGGUUGUAAAGCUCGUUUACACGGGACGAUAAUGACGGUACCGGGAGAAUAAGCACCGGCUAACUACGUG